rnacentral:rRNA from 1 species
GAAAGCCCGCGGCCCAACCGCGGGACUGCCCUGGAAACUGUAUGGCUGGAGUGUCGGAGAGGCAGGCGGAAUUCCUAGUGUAGCGGUGAAAUGCGUAGAUAUUAGGAGGAACACCAGUGGCGAAGGCGGCCUGCUGGACGAUGACUGACGUUGAGGCUCGAAAGCGUGGGGAGCAAACAGG